GACGAACGCUGGCGGCGUGCUUAACACAUGCAAGUCGAACGGAGAUUAUUUUAAGCUUGCUUUUGAUGAUCUUAGUGGCAAACGGGUGAGUAACGCGUAGGCAACCUGCCUUUCCGAUGGGGACAACAGUUCGAAAGGACUGCUAAUACCAAAUGAUGUAUAUCUUCCGCAUGGAGGACAUACCAAAGACGGCCUCUAUUUAUAAGCUGUCACGGAAAGAUGGGCCUGCGUCUGAUUAGCCAGUUGGCGGGGUAAUGGCCCACCAAAGCGACGAUCAGUAGCCGGUCUGAGAGGAUGAACCGCCACACUGGAACUGAGACACGGUCCAGACUCCUACGGGAGGCAGCAGUGGGGAAUUUUGGACAAUGGGGGCAACCCUGAUCCAGCCAUGCCGCGUGAGUGAAGAAGGCCUUCGGGUUGUAAAGCUCUUUCGGCCGGGAAGAAAUCGCACGGGCUAAUACCCUGUGUGGAUGACGGUACCGGAAUAAGAAGCACCGGCUAACUACGUGCCAGCCGCCGCAGUAA
rnacentral:rRNA from 1 species